rnacentral:rRNA from 1 species
UAGGGAAUAUUGCUUAAUGGGCGAAAGCCUGAAGCAGCAACGCCGCGUGAACGAAGAAGGCCUUCGGGUCGUAAAGUUCUUUUACGUGGGAUGAGGAAGGACAGUACCACGAGAAUAAGUCUCGGCUAACUACGUGCCAGCAGCCGCGGUAAAACGUAGGAGACGAGCGUUAUCCGGAUUUACUGGGCGUAAAGAGCGUGUAGGAGGCGCUACAAGUUGGAUGUUAAAGCUCCCGGCUUAACUUGGAGUGGUCGUUCAAGACUGUAGAGCUAGAGUAAGGCAGAGGUAGAUGGAACUCCGGGAGUAGUGGUUAAAUGCGUAGAUAUCCGGAAGAACACCAGAGGCGAAAGCGAUCUGCUGGACCUUAACUGACACUGAGACGCGAAAGCCAGGGUAGCAAACG